CGGAUCNNUGGUUUGACGAUAAAAAAACUGUCUUUCUUUACUGGCUUUUAAAUUAUCUUAAGAGUGAAGAGACUCUUUUGUUAUAGCGGGACGAGAAGACCCCGUUGAGCUUUAACGAGUAUUAUUAGUUUUAUAAUUACUGGUUUUAGUUGGGGCAACUAUUUCUCUUUAUUAAACAGAAAUAAAACUAUCUCGAAUUGAAUCAAUUAUGACCCCUAAUUAUUAGGAGAAAUAAAAUAAGUUACCACGGGGAUAACAGCGUAAUUUUUUUUGAGAGUUCUUAUUGACAAAAAAGUUUGCGACCUCGAUGUUGGAUCAUAGUCUCCUAGGGGUGCAGCAGCUCCUAAGGGUUGGUUUGUUCAACCAUUAAAACUAUACGUGAUCUGAGU
rnacentral:rRNA from 1 species